ensembl:lncRNA
AUGAUAAUAGGAAGUAAACAAGCAAGGAAGAAUUUGGCUUGGAAGAUUGUACCUGUCCUUGUUUGGAUAUCUAUCUCUUGUCAAAUGUUUUUUGAUGAUCGAGGCGGAUCUCCAAGCAGGAGAGGGCCCAUGGUUCUCCUGCUGAGCACUUCGGACUGUAACCAGCAAACAGGCAGCGCUGCUCACCCCCACCACGCACCUCGCGACUCCCUGUGGCACUUCAGCAGGCUUUACCAACGUGGAUUCUCACAACACCCCUGUGAGGUAGGUACGUAUUGUUAUUCCCCCUCUGUGUGAAUGGGGGACUGAGCCAAACAGCCCAAGGCUACAGAGUCGGUGGCAGAGCUGGAGUGAGAGUAACGCAGAGUCCUGUGUGUUCAGAUCGCUAAGUCACACCACUCUCGCACGGCAAAUUGUGCUUCUGGCCUGAUAAGCUUUUAGCCUUUUGCCAAAUUAAAGGAAUUGGAAUUCUCCAUUUUAAAUGAGGGGAGGACAGGGGGGGAAACAACAUGUUGUCUGAUAGCCUUCUGUUCAUUGGUGUACGCCUUCCCCUCCCCAAAUCCGCCACCAUUACCCAUCUCUUGGAAUGAGCAGUUUGCAGGACAGGCGUGGAGGUGAGGCUGCUGUGUUUGCUUAUUAUGACCAAGUUUAUCUCUACUGUGGGUCAGAAGUACUUCUUCCAGAGACUGUUCACUGCAAUACUAUCAUUCUGGGGUAGCUGCUUUUAGAGAUGAUCAGAAUCACCCCUUCCUCUCCUUCCUCCCAUUAAUAUCCUUCCCUCACCUCAGCCAAAAGCACUCUUUGGUGGACAGUAAGAUUGGUCAGAAAGGUACAGUGGCCUCAGAAAGCAUGCUGUUCAUUUCUGUCCUCACCACGUCAGCUUUCUUGGCUGGUUUUUCACCUCCCAGAUUCUCUGCUAGGGCAGUACCUGCUCUGUUGCCUUCUGAUAUUCAAAGGGACACUGUCAAGUAAUCUAGAUGAAAAACAUGACCCUGCCUUAAGACUUUAUCCUCCAUCUCCAGCAUUACAGAAUGGCUGUAGUUCAAACCUGGGGACUAAAUUUGGCACCUCCCCCAGUGCAGAAACACUCAACCUAUAACAGCCUUGCUGCUGUGGGGGCUCAGCUCUUCUGCAGAAUGGACAUGGUUUGGCUGAAGUCAUAGCAAUUUUUGGGAGGGCUGAGUUCAGGCUUGAUCACUGCAGGCUCAUUGUUUUUGGACUCCCGAGCUGCUGCUCCUCAAUGAGCCAAUCACUCUGUUUUUAGGCUUUCUACUGUGAUGCUUGCUUUGUGGCAGCUGCAUCAGCAAAAGAUGCAACCUCAGAGAGCUGGGAGAUGCACCCCAUGGAGCGAGGACAGUGAGCAGGAAAUUGGAAACAUGGAUCUCUUCCUGUUGCAGAUGAAAGGUGGAGAGGACAGGGAUGGUAAAAACAAUGAGGUGAAUAGAGAAAACACUAUAUGCCAAAUGGAAAAUAACAAUAUCAGUAGGGAAAGAAAUUUUAUUUCCAAGAUUGUAAGAGAAUAUUACAAACAAUGGAGAGUAAAAAAAGCCCAAACUCUAAAAACUAUUUAAAAAGUACUUGACAGUGUCCCUUUAAUAUCCACAAAUGAUUCAGCCAUUGUGCAUUGAAAGAGAAUGUUCCUGAAGAGCAGCAAGUAUCUUCGUGGAUAUAUCCCAGAGAAGGAGACUUAUUAGAAGUGUUAUAUAUUUGAUCAGCAACUGUGCUCCCUCUUCAGACUAACUCUCUGUUGAACUACUGAAUGGAAUAGAUUCUGUAACAAACAAACUGGAUGUGAAAGGUUCAGCCUACAAGACUGAGACCGUUACAAAUUGAGCAGCAGGGAUAAAGACACUGAAAAAAAAAACCCCACAUAUUUCUCAAAUGUAUGAGUAUGUGAAUCAGCAAGGUAGCAGAAACCCACGGAGAUGGGUCAGCUUUUUGUGACUGGAGUAAAAUGGAAGGAAAUUAACCUGGGAUGCCUGCAUGGAAAAAUGGUGUGUGUGAAUGGGAAAGAUCUGGAUACUGGAUUUGGGGUUAUGAAGGCAUAAAUCACACCAGUACUUGUGCUUGAAACACCUGCAGAGCAUUUGUACAAAAUUCGCCAAAAAUGCCUAUACGUUGAAUAAAGGUCAUGGAAUGCCCUCCCUCCCCCCCUCC